CCAGAGAACUUAGCAGAGAUGCUUUGGUGCCUUCGGGAACUCUGAGACAGGUGCUGCAUGGCUGUCGUCAGCUCGUGUUGUGAAAUGUUGGGUUAAGUCCCGCAACGAGCGCAACCCUUAUCCUUUGUUGCCAGCGGCUCGGCCGGGAACUCAAAGGAGACUGCCGGUGAUAAACCGGAGGAAGGUGGGGAUGACGUCAAGUCAUCAUGGCCCUUACGGCCAGGGCUACACACGUGCUACAAUGGCGCAUACAAAGAGAAGCGACCUCGCGAGAGCAAGCGGACCUCACAAAGUGCGUCGUAGUCCGGAUUGGAGUCUGCAACUCGACUCCAUGAAGUCGGAAUCGCUAGUAAUCGUAGAUCAGAAUGCUACGGUGAAUACGUUCCCGGGCCUUGUACACACCGCCCGUCACACCAUGGGAGUGGGUUGCAAAAGAAGUGGGUAGCUUAACCUUCGGGAGGGCGCUUACCACUUUGUGAUUCAUGACUGGGGUGAAGUCGUAACAAGGUAAGCGUAGCGAG
rnacentral:rRNA from 1 species